rnacentral:lncRNA from 1 species
AAUUCAAAAGAACCAGAGUAAGAGUGAGAGACAGAGAGAGAGAGGGUUACUUUGACUGGGAUCGAACAGGGGAGGAGGAGGGGCGAUUUGGUUGGAGUGUUCCUGAGAGGUCGCCUGAGAAGAAGGUGGAGGAGCAGGGCGAGCAGGAUCUGCAAUUUGACCCUAAAAAUCAAAACUCUAAUUUGUUCAACUACAGAGGUAUAUUAUUGAAAAUUUCUCAAACCCAAAACAAUUAAAUCAAAUAAAGCUUAGUAAUAUCACGAUCUGCAAAACAAAUUGAAGAAAUAAAUCAAAGAUUCGAAGUUUACCAGGCAAGAGGAGCAGAUAAGGGCGAGCAAGAUGCAGAUGAAGGCAAGCAAGACGCAGAGAUGAGGGUGAAGAGGACGAGGAUGAGGGAGCAAGGCAAGCAGGGAGCGAUGGCGACAACUCUCUCUCUCGCAGGAUGAGCGAGGUUUUCUCUCGCGGAAGGUCUUGCGAGUCCGGCCGAAUUUGGGGUUCUCGGCUAAGAACUCCUAGCGAACCCAUUAAUCCGAGCGAGUCCCAUUUAAUCCCAUUAAACCUAAUCCUGGUGCAGAACAAACAAGGGACUACAAUCUAGUCCAAUCCAGUCCCCCCUAAUCCGGUCAAACAAACGGGUCCUAUGUGACUUAUUAAUCCAAGUCUCCACCCUCGGAAAGGGAUCCUCUCUGGAUCCCUUCCAUCUGAGCCUCAUGACCCAUAAAUCCAGGCUAUUGAAAUUUGAUCAAAUGACUACAAAUAGGAAGCCCCAUUAAAAGUUAUAAUAAUUUUAGCCGUUGGAUCAAAUUUCAAGAGUCUAGAGUGUGUGGUCAUGAGGCUCAGGUGGAGGAUCCCUUCCCUCCACCCUCCACCAAAAACAUGAAACCAAUACAAAUAUGGAAACACUGAAUGGGGAAGAACAAUAAUGAGAGGCCAAACGAAUUAUGCAACUACUUUCCCCUUUCCUC